GACGAACGCUGGCGGCGUGCUUAACACAUGCAAGUCGAACGGUAAGGCCCUUCGGGGUACACGAGUGGCGAACGGGUGAGUAACACGUGGGUGAUCUGCCCUGCACUUCGGGAUAAGCCUGGGAAACUGGGCCUAAUACCGGAUAGGACCCUGGGAUGCAUGUCCUGGGGUGGAAAGCUUUUGCGGUGUGGGGUGGGCCCGCGGCCUAUCAGCUUGGUGGUGGGGUGAUGGGCUACCAAGGGGACGACGGGUCGCCGGCCUGAGAGGGUGACCGGCCAUACGGGGACAGAGAUACGGCCCGGACUCGUACGGGAGGCAGCAGUGGAGAAUAUUGCACUAUGGGAGCAAGGCUGAUGCAGCGACGCCGCGUGAGGGAUGACGGCCUUGGGGUUGUAAACCUCUAUCCGCACCGACGAAGCGCAAGUGACGGUAGGUGCAGAAGAAGGACCGGCCAACUACGUGCCAGCAGCCGCAGUAA
rnacentral:rRNA from 1 species